AUGAACGCUGGCGGCGUGCCUAAUCCAUGCAAGUCGAGCGAACGGACGAGAAGCUUGCUUUUCUGAUGUUAGCGGCGGACGGGUGAGUAACACGUGGAUAACCUACCUAUAAGACUGGGAUAACUUCGGGAAACCGGAGCUAAUACCGGAUAAUAUUUUGAACCGCAUGGUUCAAAAGUGAAAGACGGUCUUGCUGUCACUUAUAGAUGGAUCCGCGCUGCAUUAGCUAGUUGGUAAGGUAACGGCUUACCAAGGCAACGAUGCAUAGCCGACCUGAGAGGGUGAUCGGCCACACUGGAACUGAGACACGGUCCAGACUCCUACGGGAGGCAGCAGUAGGGAAUCUUCCGCAAUGGGCGAAAGCCUGACGGAGCAACGCCGCGUGAGUGAUGAAGGUCUUCGGAUCGUAAAACUCUGUUAUUAGGGAAGAACAUAUGUGUAAGUAACUGCGCACAUCUUGACGGUACCUAAUCAGAAAGCCACGGCUAACUACGUG
rnacentral:rRNA from 1 species